GCCCACCUAGCUCAGAUGGUAGAGCGUAUCCUUGGUAAGGAUAAGGUAAUCGGUUCAAUCCCGAUGGUGGGCU
rnacentral:tRNA from 1 species